CCUACGGGCGGCAGCAGUGAGGAAUAUUGGUCAAUGGACGAGAGUCUGAACCAGCCAAGUAGCGUGAAGGAUGACUGCCCUAUGGGUUGUAAACUUCUUUUAUAUGGGAAUAAAACGUUCCACGUGUGGGAUUUUGUAUGUACCAUAUGAAUAAGGCUCGGCUAACUCCGUGCCAGCAGCCGCGGUAAUACGGAGGAUCCGAGCGUUAUCCGGAUUUAUUGGGUUUAAAGGGAGCGUAGGUGGAUUGUUAAGUCAGUUGUGAAAGUUUGCGGCUCAACCGUAAAAUUGCAGUUGAUACUGGCAGUCUUGAGGACAGUAGAGGUGGGCGGAAUUCGUGGUGUAGCGGUGAAAUGCUUAGAUAUCACGAAGAACUCCGAUUGCGAAGGCAGUUCACUGGACUGCAACUGACACUGAGGCUCGAAAGUGUGGGUAUCAAACAGGAUUAGAUACCCCAGUAGUC
rnacentral:rRNA from 1 species